rnacentral:lncRNA from 10 species
GAGAAGCAGUCAAGGUACUGCGAUGUAGCUCCCAUGUUGAAAAACGAUCUCAGACCAACUCUGAGACAAGGAAUGCCUCCGGGUAUGAGACUCAUUUGUCGUUGACUAAUGGAUUUGGAGACAGAGUGGGGGCCUAACGUCUAGUGGAGGAGAGAGACGUGAAUAAAUGUACGUAACAAGAGGCAUCUAAAAAAGUGACCUUGGGGGGAAAACUGAAGAUAGCAAAAAGCGGUUGACCACAACUCUGUCAUCUAGAUAUCUAUCACCAACUCUAAAAUGUGUGUAGUCAACAAAUGCUGUGAAGCUACAUUCACAAUUUGUAUGGAUGAGCCGUCUGAUUGGAAUAAGACUCAGAUGUGGAAGGUACAAGCUCUUCAAGAUGAGUGACCCUUCCAGUAGGUGAGGGUCUGCACUCUGUGCCAGUUAAAAGAUAGCUCCACAAGGCAAAUCAGUGUGCUCUGACCCAAAGGAAGUGCAAGGAAAAAGAACAGCUGCCCACUGUGGACUUCUGGACAUCCCAUCUUCUAAGACUUUAAAGGACUUGCAUCUACUUUUGUUAAUCUACAAGCAUUCUUGGUUGACUGUAAAUGGAGUCUGUAAAUUUCUACAAGUUGCUUCCUUGAUUUGUGCAGACUGUUCAUGGAUGAGAAUGCUGAAGGGAAUGGGGAGGCUGGUGCACACCCAACCGAAGCUGCAGGGCCCUUGCACUGCCCAGCCUAGAGGGCCUGGUUCUUGCUUAUUUGUUUUCUCUACUUGUUUAUUUUUCUCUGUACAUUUUCUGACUCAGUAAUGUGAGAGUAUUUGCAGAAAUGUAAAUCCUCAAAUCUUUCUCAGCAAGUUGAAUGUCUUUAUUACACAACCCACUUUAAAGUAGUCUUGUUUAUACAUUUAUUGGAAAUGAUCAAUAGUUAAACAGAUCCUAUAAGCAAUUAUAAGUAUAGUUUUACAAUUUAUUAAAUUAUUUCUUUAGCCCAACCACAGACCUGAAUACCGUGAUUAAGUUAUCUUGUUUAAGCCUUAAAAUAAUCCUAAGUAGUACGUACUCUUAUCAUCCCUAUGUGCUUAUAAACUCAAAAACUGUGGUAACUUGCCAAUACACACUGGAGCUGAGAUUAAACCAUGUCUGUGCAACUCUAAGCCCUGGAUCUCUGCAACUAUGCUAUAUAGGGAAUUUCAGAUCUGGAAGGACACUAGAUCCCAUUCUCUCCAACUUCUUCAUUGGACAGAUGGGAGAAGGGUGGCACACACAGCUAGUAGAGGACAAGCCAAGCUCAGAAACCAGAUUUCUUGCUGCCCAGUCCAAUGUUCUGACUAUAGUGCACUGCCAAAGGAAAAUUCUGUGAAGUUAG